rnacentral:tRNA from 1 species
GGAGGCGUGCCGGAGCGGACGAACGGGACCGCCUCGAAAGCGGUUAGGGCUUCACGGCUCUCACAGGUUCAAAUCCUGUCGCCUCCGCCA